rnacentral:tRNA from 1 species
GCAGCGGUGGUUAAAUGGUAGAAUUCUUGUCUUCCAUGAAGGAGACCUGGGUUUGAUUCCCGAUCACUGCA